ACAGAAUGUGGAUGUACAUUCGCCAGUGUGUUUGGACCCAAUUUCUUGAGUCAGUGGAUUUGAGAUGUUGUUCAAACAUCUACUUAAAAGCAUGGCACACAAUAUGAGGGCAACGAGGACGUUUUGCAGCCCUUCUCGAUCUUUCCUGACUCUCUGAUGGAGAGGCACCAUCUGUGAGAGAGGCUUCCUGGUCUCUGUGGACAGAUGCCCAAUUCCCCAGGCCAUCGAUGCCUUUCUCACCACAUCCCCAUGAGCCCCAGAGUGGGCAGGAAUGGACUUCUAACAAAGCCACCGUCUACCUUAAGAAGCGGGAAGCUAACAAAAAGAGAUGACAUGUAUUACUUUGUUCCUUUUAGAAGCCUAAAUGAUAUGAUGCACAUGUUACCCUUCAUUGAAGAUUCUAGGUGAACAAACAACUUGGAUAUCAACAGGGAACAGAAAACCCACUAGCAGGACCAAAAGGCAGACCCCAUCAGCAGAACACAGGUGGCAGCUUCAACAAUUAAUUCCAAAACUGAAAGUCAAAUCCAGGAGAAGACAGGAAGCUCCAUUUUCUUUGAGCACUUAAUUGUAAAUUAAGAUUUGCUGAUGAUGACGGGCUAAUUUAAGCUACCAUGGAAAGAGGAAAGAAAUGGAAGCUGCCGACUGUAGGAAGCAGUACCUGUACUGCACAGGGUUGCAGUGACCUAACAUCAAGAAAUAAAAACUCUGGAAAACUAGCCCUUCGCAUAUAGAAGGAUCCUCCCAAAGAGCUGGAGCUCCUCUGCCCACAGCCUCCCCCAUCGGAUCAGACCUACAGUAGAAGACAGCAAGGAGUAAGCACUUUGGACUACCAGCUACUACAACUCUAGAAAAGUGGAGGCACAGAUAUGUGGGUCCCAGAGCCCUGCGGGAGCUGGAAUGGAUACUUGCUAAAACACGGGACAUGAGAUUCUCUUUCGUUUGGAAGGGUGCCGUCGUGGCCCUUCUUGGGUUCUGGACUGUCUUACAGUGUCUGACUUUGGUUUCUGUGGAUCAUGAUAAGCAUUACUCUUUUCUUCCCCCUCAAAUAUCCCACAGCUUCAAACUUACCUGAAUGCAGGUUCCCUGUAAAAAUGCCAUCAUGUAAUUUGCAUGUUAGCAAUCAGUUUGAUGAACGGCAAAAUUGUUCCAAUGGGAAAGACGAGAGAGAUAGUGUGGUCUUUUGACGGAAGGGGACAGGCAAGAGCCAGAUAAAUCAGAAGAGAGAGGCUCUUGCAGCCCAAGCCUUAAUUUCCUUGUAAGAAUUGAUGCUCACUCAGUGGUGACACUGAGCAUGUGAAAGCUCAACUGUGACACUCCUUAGA